UUAAAUUGAAGAGUUUGAUCAUGGCUCAGAUUGAACGCUGGCGGCAGGCCUAACACAUGCAAGUCGAGCGGUAGCACAGAGAGCUUGCUCUCGGGUGACGAGCGGCGGACGGGUGAGUAAUGUCUGGGAAACUGCCUGAUGGAGGGGGAUAACUACUGGAAACGGUAGCUAAUACCGCAUAACGUCGCAAGACCAAAGUGGGG
rnacentral:rRNA from 1 species